UCAGACGAUGCGUCAUGCAUAUCAAUAAGCGGAGGAAAAGAAACUAACUAAGGAUUCCCUCAGUAACGGCGAGUGAAGCGGGAAGAGCUCAAAUUUGAAAUCUUAAAGGGUUUCCCUUUACGAAUUGUAGUUUAAAGAAGUGUUUUCUGUUAGAGUUUCGGUAAAAGUUCUUUGGAAUAGGACAUCAUAGAGGGUGAGAAUCCCGUAUUUGACCGUUAUUUCUAGCUUUGUGAUACACUUUCAAAGAGUCGGAUUGUUUGGGAAUGCAGUCCAAAAUGGGUGGUAAAUUUCAUCUAAAGCUAAAUAUUGGCGAGAGACCGAUAGCGAACAAGUACCGUGAGGGAAAGAUGAAAAGAACUUUGAAAAGAGAGUUAAACAGUACGUGAAAUUGUCAAAAGGGAAGCGUUUGACACCAGUGUUGUUUUCUCGAAAAUCAAUUAAAAAAGGCAGGAUUUUGUGUUGUAUUGACUUUAUCAGCUUUCUGCACUCUUUUCUUGUCUUUUUUUAAUGCACUUUUCGUUUAACAAGUCAACAUCAAUUUCUUUUGUUGUGAAAGGGUCAUUGGAAGGUGGCUUUCUUUUCGGAGAAAGUGUUUAUAGCCUUUGGCCUCUGCAAUCGGAGAGAUUGAGGUCUGCAGCGUAGAUCCUUCGGGGUUAGAUACAUUUGUGCUAAGUUAUAGCCUUUCAUAGACAACUUGUUGACUAUGAUCAGUCAUGUAGCUUACUCGCUUAUGCUAUUUUACCUACGCUUAGGAUGUUGAUCUACAGAGCGAGAGU
rnacentral:rRNA from 1 species